CUACGUCUAGGCGGGAGCUCCGGGAGGCGGAGGCAGCCGGUGGGGGCCUAGUGGAGUGGAGGGGUAACAAGAUGGCGGCGGAGACGGUGGAGCUCCAUAAGCUGAAGCUUGCUGAACUAAAGCAAGAAUGUCUUGCUCGUGGUUUGGAGACUAAAGGAAUAAAACAAGAUCUCAUCAACAGGCUCCAGGCUUAUCUUGAGGAGCAUGCUGAAGAAGAGGCAAAUGAAGAAGAUGUAUUGGGAGAUGAAACAGAGGAAGAAGAACCAAAGCCCAUAGAGCUGCCUGUCAAAGAAGAAGAACCCCCUGAAAAAACUGUUGAUGUGGCAGCAGAGAAGAAGGUAGUAAAAAUUACAUCUGAAAUAUCACAGACUGAGAGAAUGCAGAAGAGGGCUGAACGAUUCAAUGUACCUGUCAGUUUGGAGAGUAAGAAAGCUGCUCGUGCAGCUAGGUUUGGAAUUUCUUCUGUUCCAACAAAAGGUCUGUCGUCUGAUAACAAGACUAUGGUUAACCUGGAUAAGCUAAAGGAAAGAGCACAAAGAUUUGGUUUGAAUGUCUCUUCAAUCUCUAGAAAGUCUGAAGAUGAUGAGAAACUAAAAAAGAGGAAAGAACGAUUUGGGAUUGUCACAAGUUCAGCUGGAACUGGAACCACAGAGGAUACAGAGGCAAAGAAGAGGAAAAGAGCAGAACGCUUUGGGAUUGCAUGAUGAAAAGUUCUUCAUGCUUUCUGUUCUCCAGUGGUUUCCAUUUCUAUGUUUCUUAUUGGUUACAUAUAUAUCUAAAUGCACAGCCACAUGUCUACUACGUCCUGCUCUCAAUGAGGGAGCACGUACCCCAGACUCACCUGUGAACUCCAGCAACAAUUGGACUUACUGCUGUUCCAACUUUAAGGUUCAAGUGCUGGAUUGUGUCAUGUGACCAUCCCAAAACUCAGAGCACCCUAUGGCCAUCUUUGCCCUCUGUCACAUAACUUGAAAACUGCCUGAUGGCCUUUUUGCAAUGAUUCCUCUUUCCAGGAAGCCUUGAUCUCAGUGAAGAAGUCCUUUCCUGGCAUUCCAGUACCCCUCUCAGCCCCAUACUUCUCAGACACCCUUAACAAACAAAGGCAAUCACACACAUGAUGUAACAAAUACACAAAAAAAGUAAAUAAUUACACUAAAAACUGGUAUGUUUGGAGGGGCACUGACCAGGUCCACACACACAAGGUGUGUGUGGUGGGGGUAAGGACUAGCUCCUUUUAGGGAGCUGGGCCAUGUCCCCAAGCCUCUUUGUUCCCAUGCCUCUUUGGGGAUGUGUAAGGAUGAGGAAGACUUCAGCUUUUGGACUUAUAUUCCUAAGAGUUCUCCCUCCUUGCAAAGCUCUUUACGAUGGUAAUAAAGGGGCAAUGUUUUAAGUGUCCCCCAAGUUUAAUGCCCUAACUCUAGACUAUUGAGGGAAGUUGACUGGUGCCCACUGUUCAACCCCCACCCCAUCAAGAGGCAUUUGGCCCUUAGAGGCAAGCAUCUUCACUUUUCUGUUCCUAUCCUUCCACCAAGGAAAUGUAAAUAGUGUUGACAGUCAAGGGUGUCUUGUUCUCCAAGACUGGGUUAGAAGGGAUGAACAGAGCCAGAGGAGAGGCUUGGGGUUAACAUGGUCGCCAUAUGGGAAGUAAGUUGAAAAGUCACUCCUUUAUAAAGCACCUUACCUCAUUUUCUCACUAUGAGAAUAAGAGAAAGAUGCUAAGACUUAGUAACAUCACCUUCCCAAGGUUGAUCACAUACCUUUGCCCCUUCCAUGGUCUGGUCUAAGCAGGAGAGACAUGCUCUCA